GAAGUCUCUGAUCUGGUUCCUUACACGUUCCUCAGGUGGUGCACGUGAGUGACACACUCUCUGGAUUCUUCCAUGUCCUUCCAUCUUUCUUUUGUCCUGACAGGAGAGACCAGAUCACUUUGGCAGAAGCCUAGACACAGAGUCAUCCAUUUAAGAGUCAGCUGAGGACCCUCCCAUCACAUCUCCUGGAAGCUUUUGGGCCUCGUACACUCUCAGCAUCCUUCCCCAGGCUGCUCCAUGGCCUGGAUACUGCCCGACCACCCUCACAGUAGCCGGGAAAUGUGCAGAAAGCAAAGAAGAAUUUGGGAGGCUGUGCCCCAGGACCGGAAGUCCCCUCACUCCCUCAGACAGAUGUACCUGCAGAACUUUCUGGGCUUGGACGUCGACCACGAGGACUCUGCUCAGUGCUGGCUGGGCCACAUAGAUGUACCGGUGCCUGACGUUCACUGCUGAUGCCCACUGGCAUGGCUGGGUGGCAUCUCCUUCCUCUUGAGGACAGAUUUCUUCCUGUAAAGAAGAAACCCAUCACCAACUCCUGCUCAUUCUUCAAAGCCGAGCCCAGGGAUCACGAGUCCCAGGAGCCUUCUCUGACUUUGACCUUCCCAGGUCUGGAGAGGAUUCUCUCCUCAAUUUCCAGUGCACCUUGCACACCCUCCUAACAGCAUCUACUGGGCAGCGAGCUGUCGGUCCACACUGCUGUCUUCAUCUUGACUGUGAACUCAGGGAGGCCGGGAACCCAUCCAUACUCGCCGGACCUCGCGUGGGCUCAGGGCAUGGAAGUGGCUGCCUGAUGAAGGGAUGAGCGUCACGUGCUCAGCCUCAUGCGUUCCUUUCUUAGCCUUGGGACAGAUCCGGAGCCAUACCACAUAUAGCAGAUGGAACUAAAGAAUCGAAUGGCACGCGUGUGAUGUGGAAGCGCCCACGGUGAGGAAACGUACGUAGCUCGUGAAGAUCUUCUCAGUGGGUUUGAGGUGCCUCUGGAUCUCACAGUCCACGGGGUGCAGGAUGACAAUGCCGUCAUCGGAGAAGACAUAGAACAUAUUUCCCACACUGAGACCUGGGAGGAGCAAACACAGCCACGGUUAUGUCCCUCCUAGCAGCCAGCCCCCGUGGGGUCAUGU